UACAGAGACUGCAAGCGUUAUUCGGAUUCACUGGGCGUAAAGGGUGCGCAGGCGGCCAAGUGUGUGAGGCGUGAAAGCCUGGGGCUUAACUCCAGAAUUGCACCUCAAACUACAUGGCUAGAGCAUUGGAGAGGGUAGCAGAAUUCACGGUGUAGCAGAGAAAUGCGUAGAUAUCGUGAGGAAUACCAGAGGCGAAGGCGGCUACCUGGACAAUUGCUGACGCUCAGGCACGAAAGCGUGGGGAGCAAAAGGG
rnacentral:rRNA from 1 species